UUCGUUUGGUCGUUGAAGGGUUCGGACGUGUUUUUCGAAGCUCUCGACGUCGUGACCUAAUUAUAAUUUGAACUGCGCGGGUAAAGAACGCUCAUUUGCGGCUUGGACAUUGACCAAUACGGACGUGUUUUUAAAGCGCUCUGAAAAAAGUUUUGACUUUUAAAUUUUUUUUACUACGACAGAAUCUUAGUUGACUGAUGGUCUUUGACAAAGACAGACUUGUUUUUGUGAGCUCUGAACAAAAUUUGACUUUGAAAUAUUUUUACGAUUAAAAAGUUUCAGUUGACUUUUGAACGUUGACGAAGACGGACGUACUUUCGUGAGCUCUGACUAUUGAUGAAAAGUUUUCGCGUUAUAGAAUAGCGACUUGGUACUCAGGUUGUUGAAUGACUGGAUGACUGAAGUGUUAGGUUAUUGUUAUGAGAUAACAACUUGACUUUGACUUGAGUUGUGAAAUGAAAUCAUACUCUUAUGCGAUGUUAACUUUUGAACGUUUAGUAUUGACUGACAACGAAAUUUUGUGAGCGUUAUAUAUGAAAUGUUUGACUUACAUUAAUUUUUUUGAACGACUUGACUUCACUUUAAGUUUUGACAUCGGACUGAUCGGACGUGUUUUUUUAAGCUCUGACUGUUGUGAAUAAUUAAAUUUAUGUUGUGGUGUCAAGCGAUUGACUGUCAGUUGAGGUUCAGAUGUCGAGCUGUGCGGACGUGUUCAUCGAGCUGCUGUCUACAAAAAACUGGGCUGUGGUGAGUAUUGCAGAUUUAACUUGUAUGUGUGGUUUUUAGUUAACGAUGCUUAAUGAAAACUGUUAUUGUACACUUAGUAUGGAAUGAUGUGAAUGAUGAUAUGAUGGGUAGAAUUAAUCAGUGCUUGUGUCUAGAAAUGCUGAAUGUUUAUUGAAAAGGCUAAAUGCUAGCCAGUACUAAGAGUUGAGCUACCGUGGGAAUGUGAAACGAACUGAUGGUGUAAUAUGAUGGUGUAUUGACAUACUUUUCUUAUAUGUACUAAAUAUGAUAUUGCUUUACUUGUAUUUGCAUGCUGUUAACAUUUCUAUUUUGUUCCAGUGUGCUGUGGUGAGUACUGUAGAUAUUACUUGAUUUUUAGUGUCUAUGAAUGCUGAUGUAUGAUAGCUAUAGCAUGAGCUCAAUGCUAACCAGUAUUAUGAGUUGAUGUAUUGUGGUGAUGCUAAUCGAACUGAUGAUGUAACAUGAUGGUGAACACUUACUGAAUGCAUAAAAUUUAUUGAAUUGCAUUUGUUGAUAUGCACUAUAAUAUGAUAAAUGUAUUGCUUUACAUGUAUAUUUCAUGAUGUUUAAUUUCAGUGGGCUGUGGUGAGUACUGUAGAUUGUAUUGCCUAUGUAUAGAAUUCAAUAAAAGAUUAUGACUGAAAACUGCUUUUGAUUCUUUUUGAACAGUUUUAGGGACUAUAAGUCUAUAACAAAAAUAUGUCGGUUGGCGUUCAUACAGCAAUGUUUUGAGUAGUACAGAAAUGUUUCUACGUUUGUGGUCGCCAGUUGUCUGUGAUGUGUAAAGUGAAAAAUACACGGAGCUUUGAAUACAACAAACAGUUACUGUUUUAACACAGAUUGUGUGCUAUGCAUUUUUCGAUGUAGAUCUUUUUCAGAUUUGACAUGAAAUGUAGACCUGACAUUUGAACAGAGCUGGGAAACGAAAAGGUAAGUUUGUUAAAUUUCACAAUGAACACUUGUGUUUUGACAAAAGAAGAGAUAAAGUGAGUUUUGUCAUCAUCAUGGUUUCUUUCAGAGUAUAACUCGUGAACAGAUGAAAACCUAUUUUUUGCUAGAUUUUCAUGUACUCUUUUUUUGGAUGAUAAGUAUGUCAGUAACUCAAAAUCAUACGGCUAGUACAGUAUGGAACAUGAAUGCUUUGUUCAGAUUUUCAGAUGUGUGCUGGCAGUUCAAGUCUGGCAGCUGAAGUGAACAGUCGUGUUUUCUGGAGCUCCAACAAUAUGCUAGAAGGUAAGUAACUAUGUUUGUUUUGCAUUGCAUGUUUUUAUAUGUUUCAGACUUUCAAGCAGAGAUGUCAUGCUGACUGGAGUUGAGCACAGGGCAGUGACAAAGUGAAAGGUAAGUACUUUUGACUGAAUGUUUGUUCUAUGCAUGUUUUGUUUUAAUACAUUUCAGGAGUGCUUAUCCAGUGAUGAUAUGACAGUUGGAGUGAACAGUGGAGCCAAGCAGUCUUGUUUUUAGAGCUACUCAACAAGCCUUGAAGGUAAGUUUAGAAUUUCUCAAUGUUAGUGAAUUGAAGUACUGUCACUUGCUUUUGGACAGUCGAACAGAACAGACGUGGUUGCGAGAGCUCUCAUAUCUGUUGUGUUAAACUGUUUUUAUGAUAUGUUAUGUUUGUUUGUUUGUUUGUGAUGUACUAUUUUUCAGAUGCUGAUGGCAGUGAUGGGUUUUCAAGCUGACCUGAACAGAAAAGCACUCAUAUGGUAAGUACAAAAUAGUUGUUAUAUGGGAUGUUUUGUGCAUGCUUUUAUGUUUCAGGUGUACUUGCUGACAGCGACGAAGACGAAUCAAGAAGAGGAACAUUGUUGAGAAAGUGAUUGGGACUUGCAAACAGGGUAAGUGUAACACUUGUGUUUGUUUAAUUUGUAACAUGCGUGCUUUGCUCUGUUUCAGAUUUCACAUGCAGAAAUUAAACAGGAUUUCAACUGCUGAGACACAAUUCAUCAAAAGUAAGGUAAGUUUUAAUUCAUUGAUUUGAGUUGUACAAUGUGUUCUUUACUUUAUUUCAGAUUCGAGUCACUGGUUUACACAUGGAAGAAGAUUUCCACGUCUGUUACUCAACUCUACAGAAGCAAGAUGUUUUGUUUCAGUUGAUGUCCAGAUGGCAAGCAGUACAGACGUGUUUCUUGGAGCUGCCAAACAGUGAGUACAAACGUUUUAUAUUUUUCAGUUGUUUACUCAUAGAAGUCUGUGAAAGAUGAUAACAAGGGUUGAAUCUAUCAGCACUUGUGUCUAAAAAUGCUGAUGUGUGACGGUUUACUGAAAAGGGUAAAUGCUAGCCAGUACUUACACUUGAGCAACCGUGGGAUGUCGAACUAACUGAUGAUGUACUAUGAUGGUGAACACUUACUAUGUGUAUCAAAAUGCUUUUGUUGAUAUUUACUAUAGAUGAUUUGAUAUUGGUUAACAUUUGUUUGCAUGCUGUUAACAUUUCUAUUUCAUUUCAGGGAGCUGUGGUGAGUAUUGUAGUAUACAUUUGUUUCAAUAAACCAUGAUUAAUGAAAACUGAUUUCGAUUCUUUUUUACAGUUUUAGGGAUUAUCACUCUAUAACAACUCUGUCGGUUGGUGUUCGUGAAUGUGAGCUUAAUGUUUGAGUAGUACAAAAAUGUCUUUACUUUUGUGAUCGCCAGUUGUCUGUGAUUUAAAGUGAAAAAUACACAGAGCUAUGAAGCAUACACUUGUUUCAAUAUUUUAUCAAUGAUUCAUCAAUGAUAGUGUGCUAUGCAUGUUUUGAUUUAGUUCGUUUCAGGUAUGACAUGACAUGAAGAGUUGACAGUCGAACAGAGCUGAGCAACGCAGAAAGGUAAGUGUGUUUCAUUUUAGUAUGAACACUUGUAUUUUGUUUUUAUAUGGUAUGUUUUGUGCAUGCUAUGUUUCAGGUGUACUUGUAGUCAGCGACGAAGACGAUUCAAGAAGAGGAACAUUGCUGAGAAAGUGAAUGGGACAUGCAAACAGGGUAAGUGUUACAAUUGUUGGUUUGAUUUUUACCAUGCAUACUUUGCUUUACUCUGUUUCAGAUUUCACAUGCAGAAAUGGUCUCAUAGCAGUGCCAACAGUGAAUAAGGAUUUCAUCUGCUGUGAAACAACUCAACAGAAAGUAGGUAAGCAUUGAAUGAAUGCACUUGAGCUGUACAAUUUGAUGUGAUGCUUUUCUCUGUUUCAGAUUCAAGUUCCUGGUGUAGACAGAGAAAUGUGUUUGAAGAAGGAAUUCUACUACUGUGAUUCAACUCUACAGAAGCAAGGUAAGUAGAAACAAAAUUUUGGUUUAAUUUAACUCAUGUGUUUUGCACUGCAUGCUAUUUUUCAGGUCUCUCAUGCAGUGAGGGAAAAGAAGAAGAUUUCAAGAAAAAAUCACUGCUGCAACUCAGGCCGAUAACAAGGUAAGCGUUUACUAUAUUGUAUACAAAAUGUUUUUCUGUUUUACUCUGUUUCAGGUUUCAAUUGCAGAGAUGUUGCAGAGAUGAUUUGACAGCUUGUGGCAGAAAAGAAAUUCAGCAUCUGUUUCUCGACUCUAGCCACGAGGUAAGUCAAAACAAAUAUACUGGUUUGUAUGUAAUGUUGUUAUGCCCUUCUAUGUUUCAGACUUACAUUGCUGUGACUGUUCCACAGUGGGUCAAAAAAGAGACGAAUACAGGUUUCAAGAAGAAAAUUGGCUGUUAAAAACCUGCACAAAAUAUGAGGUAAGUAAACUACUCUUUUGGUUUGUUUUGUGCUUUGUUAUGCUUAACUAUUUUUCAGAUUGGAAUGGUGGGUCGUUACAGAGCAGACUUUUGGACUACUGAGAAGUUGAGAAACAGAGAAUGAUUCAAGAUCAGCUAGGUAAGUCUUGAUUAUUAUGCAUUGCUAAAUGUUUUUUUCAUUCCAGUAUGGCUGUGGUAAGUACACAAACUUUCUAUAAUUUAAUAUUGAACUGUUUUUAUGACCUGUAUUCUGCAUUGUAAAAUGUCUGUUUUUCAUUUCAGUAUCCUGUGGUAAGUACACUAACUUUGUAUAAUUUCAUAUUGAAAUGUUUUGAUGACUUGUAUCCUGCUAUGCAAUGCUUAAUAUAUUUUUCAUUUCAGUGUGGCUGUGGUAAGUACAAUUGCCUUCUUUAAUUUUCAUAUUGAACUGUUUUGAUGAUUUGUAUACUGCUAUGCAAUGCUUAUUGUUUUUUACAUUUCAGUGUGGCUGUGGUAAGUACAAUUGCCUUUCAUAUUGAACUGUUUUGAUGACCUGUAUUUUGCAUUGUAAAAUGUGUUUCUUUUUCAUUUCAGUAUGGCUGUGGUAAGUACACAAACUUUCUUUAAUUUUCAUAUUGAACUGUUUUGAUGACUUGUAUUCUGCUAUACAAAAUGUGCUUUUUUCAAUUUCAGGUCAGCAAUGGUAAGUAUAGUGUGUUUUUUUAUGUAUAAUUUUGUAUACAUAUUGUUUUUUUUCAUCAUAGCAUGUAUUUUAUAUUUAUGCUUUGUGUAAGUAAAAUGUUCAUAAAUCAUUCUUAUCUUCAAACUAAAAAUGUAUUGUGCUAUGCAAAAUGUCUGUAUGAUUUCAGUUGCCAGAGGUGAGUACCAUUACAGUUGAAAAGUUAGUUUUGUUUAGUUAAAGUUUUGGUUCACAGUUCUGUUUGUUAUUUGGCAAAAUUUACAUGUAUGCAUUGAGUCUUGAUUUCAGCUCGAUUGUGGACUGAAGAAGAUUGCCCGCAGAGGGAUUGGAUACAAAAUACAAAGUAAGUACUGAGUUUCUUACUAAAAGUUUUGAGUUGUAUUCAUUGUAUGUUAAUAUGCUAUGAUUGCUAUGAACAUGACUUUUGUAUUUCAGCGAAGACAACAUAGGUAAGUAAAAUUGUUAUCUGUUUCAUGUUUACUGUUACAGUUCAAUAUUGUGUUUAUAAAUUGUAAGUUGUACAAACACAUUCAAAAGUUUCUAAUCAUGCUUUCGAUUUCAUUUCAGCUUUACUGCUAGACGAGUGUUCUCUACUACUUGACGAGUCAGCUUUACUACCAGGCGAGCAGUGACAACAAGGCGCCUUUGUGGAAACAACACAACAAAAAACUGUACUGCUAGACGAGCAGUGACAGAAAGGCGCCUGAACAUGCAACACAAAACAAAAAAUGCCAAUAUACAAACCUUGAUGUGAACACCGAGUAGUCAAUGCAUACGUGUGGCGUACAGCUGCGACAAAACCGUGGGUCCAUCGCACCGAUAACUCGAACAUUGGACCGCGUAUGGACAUCAGUGCAACUUUGUGAAUCCAUGUAACUUUGUGAAUCCAUGUAACAUUGCGAAUAUGUGUCGAUCGAAAAAUGUGUACAUUCUGCACUGAAACGAACUCGGUGUUGCAAGUGGCAAGUGUUGACAGUGUGUAUGUUUAUGUUUAUGUUUUUACAUGAAAACUAAAGGAGAUUGUUCUCCUACCUUUUUUUUCCUUGUUUUAUUGCGCUGGCCAGCAAUAUUGAUGUAUGUGUUUGUGUUUAAACUAUGCAAUACCAAAAUCAAACAAAAAUAAACAUUAACAGUCAUUAACUGUG